rnacentral:rRNA from 1 species
GACGAACGCUGGCGGCGGGCUUAACACAUGCAAGUCGAACGGAAAGGCCCUGCUUUUGUGGGGUGCUCGAGUGGCGAACGGGUGAGUAACACGUGAGUAACCUGCCCUUGACUUUGGGAUAACUUCAGGAAACUGGGGCUAAUACCGGAUAGGAGCUCCUGCUGCAUGGUGGGGGUUGGAAAGUUUCGGCGGUUGGGGAUGGACUCGCGGCUUAUCAGCUUGUUGGUGGGGUAGUGGCUUACCAAGGCUUUGACGGGUAGCCGGCCUGGGAGGGUGACCGGCGACCUUGGGACUGAGAUACGGCCCAGACUCCUACGGGAGGCAGCAGUGGGGAAUAUUGCACAAUGGGCGGAAGCCUGAUGCAGCAACGCCGCGUGCGGGAUGACGGCCUUCUGGUUGUGAACCGCUUUCGCCUGUGACGAAGCGGGAGUGACGGUACUGGGUAAAGAAGCACCGGCUAACUACGUG